ACGUGCUGUUGAUUCGUGGUGAAAACCAAUGUAUCGAUUUCGACUGGUAUUCUAAACCAACGUCCUCCAGCAGGAUACUGAACUGUUGGUCCAACCACCCGUUAACCCACAAGCUCAAUGUAAUCGACAACCUGAUAAAGCGACUGUUAGGACUGAGUUCAAAGAAAUUCCACUCGAAAAAUAUCAACUUAGCAAAAAGAAUUCUCGGUGAAAAUGGUUACCCAAUAAUGCUGAUCAAUAAGAGACUUAAAAUGUUUUACUGGUUGAAACAAAGGCAAAAUACAACGGUCAACAGUCAAUCUACCGUAAACAACAACUCACAGAAUAACAGUUCGACCAAAAGCAAGAUACGUUACAAAGGUCUGCAAUUCAAUCAGUCUUGUUCCCAGAACAUAGGAAAAAUUCUCUGCAGAGGAAAUGUUGACGUGAAAGUGGGCUACAAACCGACUCUGAAGAAUAGAUCGACUUUCACCAAACUGAAACAAAAGACACCGAUAUUGGAAAUGUACGAUGUAGUCUACAACAUGCCUUGCCUAGGUGAUGGCAGAAGAGCCAAAUGUGAUCUGAAUUACAUUGGUCAAACGGGACGAAAGGCAUAUGUGAGGACUGAUGAACACGUUGAAGAUAUAAAAAAGUUUAACCAGGAUGGGGAAUUGGAAAGUUCAACAGCCUUGGUGCACCAUUUUUAUGAAGCCGGUCAUGUACCAGACACGGAGAAUAUUUCAAUAUUGGAAGUUGAACAUAACUAUGCGAAACGUAAGGUGCUUGAGUCUCUCCACAUUAUGACCAAUACGUCUAUGAAUUUUAGAAGAGACACGGAAAACAUUAGCUCGAUGUAUAAGAGCUUAAUUAAAGAGGUGAUAGCUCCAUCCAUGUAACGAGAUAAUUAACUUUGACUGUCCAGCUCUUCGAAGUAGUUCGGUAAUUGUCAAUUUUUUUAUGUUUAUGUUUACUCACUGGAUGUGAAAAGAUUUGUAUCAGUUUGUGGACGAUGCAAAACUGUGAGGAUUAGAUAAUAGCCCACACGACUGAUGAUGUAUCAAUAAAGAUGCGAAACGUCUCAAGAAUUUGUGUUUAAUUCUUGCCACCAAUGAUGGACCGAAAAAUCUAGUAAAGCCAAUGCUCAAGUAAUUUACUAUCACGGUCAAGUAAAAGUU